AAUAUAAAAUGUCCUAAGACUUACAUAAAAAUGAAACCAUUAAUGAUUACAGAUGUUUUAAAUUACCGUAACUCCAUCGCGCGCGCAUGUGUGUGUGGUUGUGUGUACAGGAAGUUGUGAUAGUGGGGGGUUCCAGUGCACCAGUGGACAAUGCAUCAACAACGCUUGGAGAUGUGAUGGGACUAAAGACUGCACAGAUGACUCAGAUGAGCUGAACUGUCCGACUUCAUCAUGCACCUCGCAGGAAUUUAAGUGUGUGACGAGCGGUGAAUGCAUCUCUCUGGGAUUCGUCUGUGAUGGAGAGGAAGACUGCGUCGAUGGUUCAGAUGAAAAAAGAACCUGUGGUGGACGGACGUGCAGCCCAGACCAGUACACCUGCCAAGAGGGCCAAUGUGUCCCGGGAAAAUACAGGUGUGACCACGUGAAGGACUGCGUAGACAACUCCGA